CUGCGCGGACGCGCGGCAGAAGGUGAAGGAGCAGGAGGCGCGCCACCGCCGCACCGUGGAGCGCACCAGCGCGGCCGGCCGGCGCUCCCAGCGCGCCCACAGAUGGUAAAGGGUGGAGUUACCUUCAUCAUCCCCAGAAAGCAGAGGAAAGGAGGAGGGAUUGAAGUAAAACAUAGAGGAAUCUCGUUUGUUCCGACCCCCCUCCCCGCAAUCCCUCACUAUAUAGAGUGUGGUCUUCAACCAGCAACUCACCAGAAACACAGAAUCUUGGUCCUUCCCAAACCCCAAAGCACAUCUUUAAUUUAACCAAAUCACACCUCAUUGUUUAGCCUCUGGCUUUCCUGACCAUGAUUUCACCAGUCAGCAGAAACCACUAGGUGCUCAGACAAAGGGGAUUUAACAGAGAACUGGUUGAAGCUUGACGUCGUUACAGUGUGUCAACUAAGAACACAGAGCAGACAGUCACCCCUCUGCCAUCACAGGGUAGGGGAGUCUCCAUAUCUCUGGGGCCUAGAUUGUCUGGUGGAAGCCAGAGCCCACCAAUCUCUGCUAGAAAACAGAACAGAGAGGACCCUCUGCUUAGGGAGACGGAGGUAAAAUACCCUAUUCCUGUGGCCUAAUGUCCCUGUGGCUUUGGCUCCUGGAAGCCAAAUGCAGAGGCUUUGGGAACCAGAGGAGAGAGACCUGGGUGAGUCUAAAACAGGCCAGUGGCCAGGCCCUGCGAUUUCUAAAACUCUCCUAAUACCUGUCAAACUUCAGGGUCCUGUUUCUAGGCUAAUGUUCACAGGUGAAUUGUGUACAUCCAGAUUCAUACAUUGAAAUCCUAAGCCCCAGAAUUUCAUGUGGCACUGUAUGUAGAGGUAGAAUCUUUGAAGAGGUAGGUAAAAUGAGAUCACAGGAGUGGGCUCCAGCCCAAGGAGGAUCGGCGCCCUUCAUAGGACACAGACGUGCACAGAGGGACGGCCAUGUGAGGACACACAAGAUGUUCCCAACAUCAGGGAGAACAGUCUCUGAUGACACAGCCAACCCUGCCCACACCUCCAUCUUGGACUUGCAGACUGUGAGGAAAUGAUUCCUGUUGUCUCAGUGACCCAGCAUGCAGUGCAGACCUAGCGGUUGGACACAUCGCCCCACCAGGCUUGAGUGCGUCUUUGCUCCAGCUCUGGCCCAGUAUUCAUUUCUUCCCUGAGAAUCCUGCCCGUCCUCUGGUGUCAGCCACCCCCUCACAGGGAGGCUUUCUUCUUGCAGGCCCCAGUGCCAGGUCCUUCCCUUCCGCACACAUCUCCUUGCCAACUUUUCCUGCCUCCACCUCUUAGAUGUUUCUACAGCACUUUCAUGAAACCCUCCUUCCACCCCACCACCACACAUUUCAUCUUUUAGGUCCAGUUUCCCAAUCUGAUCUCCUAGGAACUAGCAAGACAGCCAUUUUAAAAGUUCCCUUCACCACGUCCUACCGCUGUGUCAUGUGACUCUAAAAGCGCAACUCUAAGGCCAGGCUUGGUGGCGCACGCCUUUGGUUCCAGCACUUGGGUGGCAGA